rnacentral:misc_RNA from 1 species
AAGUCGUAACAAGGUUUCCGUAGGUGAACCUGCGGAAGGAUCAUUAUCGUACAAAAUGUGAGGGGCAUGCGAGGGCUGUCGCUGACUCAAAGUCGUGCACGCCCGAGUGUGUCCUCUCACAUAAAUAAUCCAUCUCACCCUUUGUGCAUCACCGCGUGGGCACCCUUUGGGAUCAUCUCGGAGGGGGCUCGCGUUUUCACACAAACCCCCCUUUUAAAAGUGUAGAAUGACCUCAUUUAUGCGCUAACCCGCAAUCAAUACAACUUUCAACAACGGAUCUCUUGGCUCUCGCAUCGAUGGAGAACGCAGCGAAAUGCGAUACGUAAUGUGAAUUGCAGAAUUCAGUGAAUCAUCGAAUCUUUGAACGCACCUUGCGCCCCUUGGAAUUCCGAGGGGCACACCCGUUUGAGUGUCGUGAACAUCCUUCAACCUUUCUUGGUUUCUUGACCAAGAAAGGCUUGGACUUUGGGGGUCUUUCAUUGCUGGCCUCUUUGAAGCCAGCUCCUCCUAAAUGGAUUAGUGUGGUCUGCUUUGCCGAUCCUUGACGUGAUAAGAUGUUUCUACGUCUUGGGUUUCGCACUGUCGCUUUAGACCCCGCUUCUAACCGUCUCGUCUUGCAUUCAAGACAGAGUUUUUAAACCUUGACCUCAAAUCGGGUGAGACUACCCGCUGAACUUAAGCAUAUCAAUAAGCGGAGGAAAAGAAACUAACAAGGAUUCCCCUAGUAACUGCGAGUGAAGCGGGAAAAGCUCAAAUUUAAAAUCUGGUGGCUUUUCUGCCAUCCGAGUUGUAAUUUAGAGAA